rnacentral:rRNA from 1 species
CGGGUGAGUAAUGCGUGACCAACCUCGCCCCAUGCUCCAGAAUAGCUCUUGGAAACGGGUGGUAAUGCUGGAUGCUCCACUGACGCAUGUCUUGUUGGGAAAGUGUUUAGUGGCAUGGGAUGGGGUCGCGUCCUAUCAGCUUGUAGGCGGGGUAAUGGCCCACCUAGGCUUCGACGGGUAGCCGGCCUGAGAGGGCGGACGGCCACAUUGGGACUGAGAUACGGCCCAGACUCCUACGGGAGGCAGCAGCC